UUGCACGAGAGUUGGCAGUAAUCUGAAAUGCGCGUCAUUAGUCGGUUUUCAUCUUUUGUCAGCCCAUUUUCAAUACUAAUUUGCUAUUGAUCUAUACGAUUACACGUAAACAAUCAAACCUACAAACAAAGCCCUGUGCUGACUCGACUGUCAAUUCUGGUGCAACAGAUGGUAUCUUUGAAGUGUAGUGAUACGUCAGUCUGUAAAAGUUUACUGGUCGCGUAAGCAUCGACAAAUGUUACAAUUCUCAAAGUAUAGUUGCGCACAGUUAAAAAUAGAAACGCCGGUCUAUGGAAGCGUACUGAAAACUCGGUGAAAAUCGUCUCUACUCGGCCGCAAUCUCUGAUACAUGGUUCGGUAGAUUAUCUAGUUUGCGCUUCGCAGAGGCGCCCACGAGGUGAAAUGACUGUGAAAUUGUACCUAUAAAAAGAGGAUGUUUUUUUAAAUUAUUCUCGCGAAGAUCCAUCUUGGAGCAGUGGUACAUGGCGAACUAGGUUCGACUUACAAAAGAUUAAUAUGUAACCUACCAGAAUUCUUCUCAAUGCCUGUGACAUAUUUAAACGCAAGUGAAUAAUGUGUCAUGAAACAACAGUUUCAUUAGAAAUAAUGACGUUACUUCAGAUAACUUGUACAUUCAUGAUUUUAAUAACUAUUAAGAAAUCCUUAAAUGUAACUCGUCAGUUCUUAAAAGAUAAUUAUAUAAUACUCAUUAAAUAAACUAUCAAUGAAAUGCAGCCGCUAAUCAUGUAAACAUUGCGUUUAAAUGAAUAUUACAAAAUAAAUAUGAUGAAUAUUGUUAAUGCGAAAUAUGAAUCCAAUGAUACAAUAAAAUCAUAAUAAAUAUUACUAGUUGAAGAUAUGCAGCAAUAUUGCAGCAAUUUCUGAAUUUACUAGUACCAGAGGAUACUUACUACAAUUUACGUAAGUGCAGUUCAAUGAGCAGUCUAUCAUUGACCUUACCAACCGAUAAUUAUUAAGAACGGGGAAAUACCGAAGAAGAAACUAAUUGCCUGGAAAUGAUUGAUAAAUUAUCUCAUUAACCACUGUUUUGAAUAAACAACAUUUUAUACUACUACAACCUAUCAUUAUACUUUACACUUCGUAAUAGUAUUUGCAUACAACGUAAAGUAUUAACUCUUUAUGCGAAUAAAGCGGUUGUUAUCGAAGAUAUCGCUGUGAAUGGUUAAACAGGCAUACAUUAAAUUAAAUAUAAAAUUUAUUACAAUUUUGUGUGUCCAUUUAGUAUGUAUCUGGAACAGGCUAUAACCCUGUUCUUGUUGAAGUUGGAAAAAAUCGCAAAGGAAAACUUUCCACUAUCUGAGAGACUGUCAUAACACAAUACCAGUUUUUUCAUAAAUGCAUCGAUGCACUUGAAAAGUACAAUUGCACCUUUUUUUAAAUAAAAUGCGAGUUUUCGAUUAAUUCGCAAAAUUAUAUUUUUUUUAUAAAUAAAAAUGUUUAAUGUAAACGGAAUAAAUGCAAUAUAAAAAUUGGUGGUAAAUACAGGUCACAAAUAACUCAUUUCCGCCGGCGUACUGUGAAGUUGGAUAUUUGACUAACUAAGUAAUACUACGUUUGUAGCGUUGAAGUAAGGCCACGAUAAUAAUAGAACCUUGAAAACUUCAUGCAACCUAGAACCAUUUCAAUUGCAUACGAUUUUUUUCGUUGCAUGCAUCUUUUUAUGAAACAUUUUUGCUAAAUAUUGUUUUGGUGGCUCACGUUGACUAAUUUAUUUCCUUAUAAGUCGAUUAGCCAUUUUGUUUAUUAAAGUGUUAAAAAUAAAAAUAAGUAGAAUUAUGCCGUUUAUUUUGAAAGUGGACUAAAUCAUAUCUUUUUAGUUUCAACAUAUUUGAAGAUUUGUAUUUGAAUAGUUUGAAAAAUAUUUUUAUACCAUGUAACAAAAUGUUUCAAAACAUAUUUGGCCUUGAAAAAUAAGAAUUUAUUAUGACUGUGUAAUGUUAUAUGGAACUUAUAAGAAAAUAUGAUUUGUGACUUAAAAUGACUUACACCAUUUUAAAAAUUAUCAUAUUCGAUAUUUUCGAAUUACAGAAUCAAACCUCGAAAUCAAAAGAUUGAUCUGUUCUUCGUUUAAAUUUGUACUUUUUAUAAGAUAAAUGUUCAAUGAUUCAAAGAACUCAAAAGAAAAAUAAACGAAAAUGCAUAUCUACUCGAAGACAGUAUACCACAUUUUUUAUUCGCUUUAUCAAAAUCUGUAAUUUAAAUAAAAACGUUGAUUGAAAACCUAUAACUUUAUAUUUUACAAGAGCAGUAUCAUCGCAUAAUACUUUAGAAUCAAAAGAUAAAAUAACAUUUAUUCGAACUCAACAGAAAAGGAAACAAAGGACAUAUUCCUGAAAAAUACAAAUUCCUGAUUAAAUCAUUGAUCUCAAAGUGAGAAGGCACGCCACAUUUUUCAUUCGUUUUAUUAAGAUCCACGGAUGAAAAAUCAAAGAUGUUGAUCGAACAAUUGUAACAGUAUGUCUCACAAAUAUUUUUGUGGAACACUACUGCGUAGUAUGAUCCGAUAAUACUCCACAUUUUU